CCUGAACGCUGGCGGCGUGGCUAAGACAUGCAAGUCGUACGGUGUAGCAAUACACAGUGGCGAACGGGUGAGUAAUGAAUCGCUAAUGUGCCCCGGACUCUGGGAUAGCCGACCGAAAGGGCGGGUAAUACCGGAUGAGACCACGAACAGGCAUCUGUUUGUGCUCAAAGGUCCGCCGGUCUGGGAGCAGGCGAUUUCGCAUCAGCUAGUUGGUAGGGAACGGCCUACCAAGGCGACGACGCGUAGCCGGACUGAGAGGUUGACCGGCCACAUCGGGACUGAGGCACUGCCCGGACUCC
rnacentral:rRNA from 1 species